rnacentral:rRNA from 1 species
CUGAGUACGGCGGAACACGUGAAAUUCCGUCGGAAUCCGGGAGGACCAUCUCCCAAGGCUAAAUACUCCCUAGUGACCGAUAGUGAACCAGUACCGUGAGGGAAAGGUGAAAAGCACCCCGGAAGGGGAGUGAAACAGUUCCUGAAACCGUGUGCCUACAAGUAGUUAGAGCCCGUUAAUGGGUGAUAGCGUGCCUUUUGUAGAAUGAACCGGCGAGUUACGAUUUGUUGCAAGGUUAAGCGGAAAAAGCGGAGCCGUAGCGAAAGCGAGUCUGAAUAGGGCGCAUAAGUAACAGGUCGUAGACCCGA